rnacentral:rRNA from 1 species
AAGGCUAUGUUGGCCGGGCGACGGUUGUCCCGGUUUAAGCGUGUAGGUGUGUGUUCCAGGUAAAUCCGGUUCACUUUAACACUGAGGCGUGAUGACGAGGCACUACGGUGCUGAAGCAACAAAUGCCCUGCUUCCAGGAAAAGCCUCUAAGCAUCAGGUAACAUCAAAUCGUACCCCAAACCGACACAGGUGGUCAGGUAGAGAAUACCAAGGCGCUUGAGAGAACUCGGGUGAAGGAACUAGGCAAAAUGGUGCCGUAACUUCGGGAGAAGGCACGCUGACACGUAGGUGAAGUGAUUUACUCAUGGAGCUGAAGUCAGUCGAAGAUACCAGCUGGCUGCAACUGUUUAUUAAAAACACAGCACUGUGCAAACACGAAAGUGGACGUAUACGGUGUGACGCCUGCCCGGUGCCGGAAGGUUAAUUGAUGGGGUCAGCGCAAGCGAAGCUCCUGAUCGAAGCCCCGGUAAACGGCGGCCGUAACUAUAACGGUCCUAAGGUAGCGAAAUUCCUUGUCGGGUAAGUUCCGACCUGCACGAAUGGCGUAAUGAUGGCCAGGCUGUCUCCACCCGAGACUCAGUGAAAUUGAACUCGCUGUGAAGAUGCAGUGUACCCGCGGCAAGACGGAAAGACCCCGUGAACCUUUACUAUAGCUUGACACUGAACAUUGAGCCUUGAUGUGUAGGAUAGGUGGGAGGCUUUGAAGUGUGGACGCCAGUCUGCAUGGAGCCGGCCUUGAAAUACCACCCUUUAAUGUUUGAUGUUCUAACGUGGACCCGUGAUCCGGGUUGCGGACAGUGUCUGGUGGGUAGUUUGACUGGGGCGGUCUCCUCCUAAAGAGUAACGGAGGAGCACGAAGGUUGGCUAAUCCUGGUCGGACAUCAGGAGGUUAGUGCAAUGGCAUAAGCCAGCUUGACUGCGAGCGUGACGGCGCGAGCAGGUGCGAAAGCAGGUCAUAGUGAUCCGGUGGUUCUGAAUGGAAGGGCCAUCGCUCAACGGAUAAAAGGUACUCCGGGGAUAACAGGCUGAUACCGCCCAAGAGUUCAUAUCGACGGCGGUGUUUGGCACCUCGAUGUCGGCUCAUCACAUCCUGGGGCUGAAGUAGGUCCCAAGGGUAUGGCUGUUCGCCAUUUAAAGUGGUACGCGAGCUGGGUUUAGAACGUCGUGAGACAGUUCGGUCCCUAUCUGCCGUGGGCGCUGGAGAACUGAGGGGGGCUGCUCCUAGUACGAGAGGACCGGAGUGGACGCAUCACUGGUGUUCGGGUUGUCAUGCCAAUGGCACUGCCCGGUAGCUAAAUGCGGAAGAGAUAAGUGCUGAAAGCAUCUAAGCACGAAACUUGCCCCGAGAUGAGUUCUCCCUGAGACUUAGAGUCUCCUGAAGGAACGUUGAAGACGACGACGUUGAUAGGCCGGGUGUGUAAGCGCAGCGAUGCGUUGAGCUAACCGGUACUAAUGAACCGUGAGGCUUAACCUUACA